UGGCUCUCCUUCUCCUUCUUCCGUUACCUUCUUCUCUUUUCUUUAGAUCUUCUCCUCCACUCUUUAAAUUUUUCAUUUAUUAUCAUUAAACCAAGUAAGAAGGCGAUCUCCUUCUUUUCCACUUGAGAAGGCUCAAUCUUGAGUUCUAAAGGCUCAUAUGAGUUGAAGCUUUGGCUCAAAUCAAAGGUCUAGCCAAGGACUAGCAUUCAAGGAAGUGAAAUAGUCAAAGUUGUGAGUGGGACUUAUUGAUUUCAUGCACUAUAAUGUCAUGCAUGCUUUCUAUUUGACUUAUAUUUUCUUUUGAUUAACAUUUUGCAUGUUUGUUUUUUUGAAAUCUUAUCGAAUAUCAUUCAUGACUUUGUUAUCAUGGUUUAUUUUAAAUGAGAGGUUUAUAAUAUUUAGUAGUAUGUUAAUUGUGUCCAAAAACUUGGGUCUUACAUUACAUCUCCAAGGAAUUAUUGAAAAUGAUGUCUUCUUAGAAGAAAAGAAUUGUUUCAUGACUGCCUUAGCAUUUAUUUGAAUUGAUUUGUGUGAAUUACUCACUCUUGGAGUGAGGAUGGUUUAUGUGAAGAAUUGUAAAUUUUACAUAAAAAUGGUAAAAGUUCUUGAAAUGUUUUCUACGGUGUUUAGAAAUUAUGUUUAAUUAUGAUUUAGCUUUUAAAAGAAUUUGGCAAAGAGCAUGUUACUUAUGAUUAGAGAUCAUAUUUUUUUUUGUUAUUAUGUUUGAAAGAGCAUGUUUUCAUGAAACGGGAUAUUUUGUUAUGAUGUUGAAUAAGUUGUGCAAAACUGACUUGAAAUACUUUUUGAUGAUGUUGUACUUGAAGUGUAUUUUCAAGGAUUAUUCUCAAAUUGAUAUUUCCUUGAUGGAAAGGUUUUCUUUGAAGAUGUUAUGAUCAGUUUGCUCACUCUUGAAGUGAAAGUUGUAUAUGUAAAAUUUUGUGAUCUCUUGAUGAGACUUGUGCUACCAUGUUGAUGUAUACACUGAGCCUAUCGGCUGGAUUGCUAUUUAUUAGUUUUGAUGGUGACAUAGGGGGAUCCCCAAUACUUACUGUAGUAAGAAGUAAACGGUUUCCACGGGCAAACCUAGUUGAGUUGGCGUGGAAAAAUCUUCAAACCAAUUAUGCAAUUUCAGGUGGGAGUGUAGAAUCCUGACUUAUAUAUUGUUGAGUUGUUCAGAGUCACCACACAGGCUUCCCAAUGGCCAACACCAAGAUACGCACAUCUUGGUGGCUCUUGACCUAACUGAGGCCACGGUUAGCGAUGGAGGGUUUUCGAGGGUAUUUGGAAUACUAUCGAUUAUUUUGAUUUGUUGAUUUAUCUAUUUCUAAACAUUCUAAAUUGUGAACUAUUGAAAAGAAUUUGUAAAGUUUGGAUUUCAUAUUUGUAUGGGCUCCUUGAUGAUUUCAAAGGGUUUUAUUUUGCAUUUCAUUGAGGAAGCUUAAUUUCUUA